UUACUAAUAAUAUUAUUUUUUUAUAUUAUUUUUUAAGUUUUUAAUAAAAGUAAUUUUAAUGUUUAUAGGGUUAUAGUAUAAUUUAUAGAAUUGAUUAUAAAAAUUAUACUUUAUUAGUAAUGUAAUUGGUUUUUGAAAUAUUUUUAAGUUAAAUAAAGUAUUUUUUAUUUAGAGUACCUUUUGUAUCAGGGUUGAUCAAAAUUUUAGUAUAAAUUAUUACUAAUCUCGAUUUGGGUUGAUUUAUAAUCAAGUAAUGUUUAAUGUGUUAUAUUUAUCUUUUAUUUGAUUAUGGAAAUGAUAUGUUAAUCGUUUCUCAAUUUAUCUAGUUUCUUAAGAUAAAAUUAAAUUUUAUGUGGUUAUUAUUGGUUAUAUUUAAUUUUAUAAGUUUAAUUAUUUUCCAAUUUAUUCUUUAGGGGAUAAGCUCUAAAGUUUUGUUUAUCCUAUAAUAUAUUUUAUAUUAUAUAAUAGUAGGCUUUAAACCAGCUAUCUAAUUGAUUAYGUUUUAGUUCAUUAUUUUUAUUUUGAUUUUAUAAUUGUUUUAGGUUUAAUAUUAAGAUUAUUAAUUAAAUUUUUAAAUUUUUGAAAUAAUGAUUGAAUUAGUAUAUAAAUUUGUUUAUGGUUGUUGUUAUUAUUAAUUAAUCAUAAGGAACUAAGCAAAUUUGAUUCCCGCCUGUUUGUCAAAAACAUGUCCUUUUGUUAAAAAUAUAAGGUCUAGUCUGCUCACUGACGAGUUUUAAAAAGCCGCGGUAUUUUGACCGUGCAAAGGUAGCAUAAUCAUUAGUCUCUUAAUUAGGGGCUGGAAUGAAUGGCUUGACGAGGAAUCUACUGUCUCUUGUUUAUAUAUAAAAUUUAACUUUUAAGUUAAAAGGCUUAAAUUUUUCUUUAGGACGAGAAGACCCUAUAGAGCUUAAUAUUUUAAUUAAAUAUAGUUUUCUGAUAGUCUUUCAAUAUUUUAUAAAAAUAUUUUGUUGGGGUGACAUAAAGAAUAGAUAAACUCUUUAUUAUUAAAUCAUUGAUUUAUGUUUAAUUGAUCCAUAAUUUAUGAUCAUAAGAUUAAGUUACCUUAGGGAUAACAGCGUAAUUGUUUUUGAGAGUUCAUAUCGACAAAGCAGAUUGCGACCUCGAUGUUGGAUUAAGAAUAAUUUUGGGUGUAGGAGCCCAAUAAUUAGGUCUGUUCGACCUUUAAAUUCUUACAUGAUCUGAGUUCAGACCGGCGUGAGCCAGGUCGGUUUCUAUCCAAAGUUAAAUAYAUCAUAUUAGUACGAAAGGACCAUAUGGUUAAAAUAUUUUUUUUAUGGUGAAUAAAACUAAAUWUAUUU
rnacentral:rRNA from 1 species